rnacentral:lncRNA from 1 species
GGAUGGUGUCCUGGGCUGAUGACACAAUUCAAUUGCGAGGGGCAGUACUUCACCAGGCUCACAGAGGGAACCUGACAAAGCCCCACUGCAAUUUAUACCGGCAGCAAUGUAGGUAUUUAUAUGAAAAAUCUGGGGAUGGACUCAGCCAGCUGUUGCUGCUGCCUUUUGCAGAGAAGUCAGAGCCAUGCUUACGGCAGAAUCAAAGAUGGUCUCCAAGGGAAGGAAGUGAAGCGUUGACAAUGGUGAGGACCUGUUUGCUUCAGGAUUGUUCCCAACAGCCUGUUCCUGAUGGUGUUACUCAGCCUCCUUCUGAGUGCCUCAGAGACAAAAGGGCACCUUUAUCCAUGGCAAGGAAGCUCUCAAGUGGCAAGGUUUUUGCUCAUAACCUGAGCUCUAAGAGCUUUGGGUGGAAACUGGAUGGGAAGAGAAUGUUCCAUGUCAGAGCUGCACACAUGCCUGUGUCCUCCUCUCCUGAGAGUGUGGAUGACUUCCCUGUCCGCAGACAUGCUGGGACAGUGUCUGCCAGUGCCCUCUCCAACCUUGGCUGGACAGGCAGUUAUGGCCCCAAGUGCUUUGCCUUUAGUGACUGGUCUUCCCUGUGGUACGUCCUGCUGGACUCUUUGCUUGGAAAACACACUUUGGGGUUGAGGACAAGCUCCUUGUACAUCUAG